AAUGUAGCAAUACAUGGCGUACUGCUCAGUAACACGUGGACAACCUACCCUCAGGACAGGUAUAAACCCGGGAAACUGGGUAUAAUCCCUGAUAGUCCUCGGACGCUGGAAUGCAUCGAGGACGAAAGCUCCGGCGCCUGAGGAUGGGUCUGCGGCCUAUCAGGUAGUAGUGGGUGUAACGUACCUACUAGCCUACGACGGGUACGGGUUGUGAGAGCAAGAGCCCGGAGAUGGAUUCUGAGACACGAAUCCAGGCCCUACGGGGUGCAGCAGGCGCGAAAACUUUACAAUGCCGGCAACGGCGAUAAGGGGACCUCGAGUGCCAGGUUACAAAUCUGGCUGUCGUGAUGCCUAAAAAGCAUUGCAUAGCAAGGGCCGGGCAAGACCGGUGCCAGCCGCCGCGGUAACACCGGCGGCUCGAGUGGUAACCGUUAUUAUUGGGUCUAAAGGGUCUGUAGCCGGCCGGAUAAGUCUCUUGGGAAAUCCAGCAGCUCAACUGUUGGGCUUUCAGGAGAUACUGUUCGGCUCGAGGCCGGGAGAGGUGAGAGGUACUUCAGGGGUAGGGGUGAAAUCUUGUAAUCCUUGAAGGACCACCAGUGGCGAAGGCGUCUCACCAGAACGGACCUGACGGCAAGGGACGAAAGCUAGGGGCACGAACCGGAUUAGAUACCCGGGUAGUCCUAGCCGUAAACGAUACUCGCUAGGUGUCGGCCACGGUGCGACCGUUGUCGGUGCCGUAGGGAAGCCGUGAAGCGAGCCACCUGGGAAGUACGGCCGCAAGGCUGAAACUUA
rnacentral:rRNA from 1 species